CCUACGGGCGGCAGCAGUAGGGAAUCUUCGGCAAUGGACGAAAGUCUGACCGAGCAACGCCGCGUGAGUGAAGAAGGUUUUCGGAUCGUAAAACUUUGUUGUUAGAGAAGAACGUUAAGUAGAGUGGAAAAUUACUUAAGUGACGGUAUCUAACCAGAAAGGGACGGCGAACUAUGUGCGAGCAGCCGCGGUAAUACGUAGGUCCCAAGGGUUGUCCGGAUUUAUUGGGCGUAAAGCGAGCGCAGGUGGUUUAUUAAGUCUGAUCUAAAAGGCCGUGGCUCAACCAUUGUGUGCAUUGGAAACUGGUAGACUUGAGUGCAGGAGAGGAGAGUGGAAUUCCAUGUGUAGCGGUGAAAUGCGUAGAUAUAUUGAGGAACACCGGAAGCGAAAGCGGCUCUCUGGACUGUAACUGACACUGGGGCUCGAAAGCGUGGGGAGCAAACAGGAUUAGAUACCCGUGUAGUC
rnacentral:rRNA from 1 species